UGGGGAAUAUUGGACAAUGGGCGAAAGCCUGAUCCAGCCAUGCCGCGUGUGUGAAGAAGGCCUUUUGGUUGUAAAGCACUUUAAGUGGGGAGGAAAAGCUUGUGGUUAAUACCCAUAAGCCCUGACGUUACCCACAGAAUAAGCACCGGCUAACUCUGUGCCAGCAGCCGCGGUAAUACAGAGGGUGCAAGCGUUAAUCGGAAUUACUGGGCGUAAAGCGCGCGUAGGUGGUUAUUUAAGUCAGAUGUGAAAGCCCCGGGCUUAACCUGGGAACUGCAUCUGAUACUGGAUAAUUAGAGUAGGUGAGAGGGGAGUAGAAUUCCAGGUGUAGCGGUGAAAUGCGUAGAGAUCUGGAGGAAUACCGAUGGCGAAGGCAGCUCCCUGGCAUCAUACUGACACUGAGGUGCGAAAGCGUGGGUAGCAAACAGGAUUAGAUACCCUGGUAGUCCACGCCGUAAACGAUGUCUACCAGUCGUUGGGUCUUUUAAAGACUUAGUGACGCAGUUAACGCAAUAAGUAGACCGCCUGGGGAGUACGGCCGCAAGGUUA
rnacentral:rRNA from 1 species